rnacentral:lncRNA from 1 species
GGCUGGGCGUGGUGGGGCACACCUGUAGUCUCAGCUACUUGGGAAUCUACAGAAGGAUCACUUGAGCUCAGGUCUAGACAACUUAGUAACCCUAUCUCAGAAAGGAGAAUAAAAAAUGUAUACAUAUGAAAGAAAUGAGUAAUCAUAAGAAUAACCAAGGUUAUUUAAGAAAAAAAGAACCAAAAACAAAAAAAGAGUAAAAAAAAAAUCAACUAAAAUAUUAGAAAAAUGGAAGUGCUUGAAUUUAUGAAUAGAGAGAAAUUGUUCAAACUACCACACAAAAACAGAAAAAUUAGUUGAGCUCAGUAAUGUCUCAGAAAUGACAUUAGUGAUAGAGAAAGACAUUAUAAUAUAAGCUUAAUUAUAGCUUCAGAAUGGAAAAAAUGGAACAGAGGCAAAAUUUGAAAAGAUAGCAUUAGAUGUCAAUUCACAAAGACAAGAAGCCAAAAUAUCCCACAUUUACAAUUUUUUAAAAAUCUAAUUAUAGAUAAUCUUAGUGAAAUUAGGCCCCAUCAAAGACCAAAAUAUAUUUAAAGCAGGAAAAAAAAAAACCCGAUUACCUUCAAUAGACGGCUUUUUAUCAGCAACAAUAGAAAGCAGAAGGGGGGAAUAAUUUCUUUGAAAUGCUAAGAGAAAACAACCUGCCAAACUACAAUUUUUACUCCACAAAAAUAUCUGUCAAGAAAAAGAAUAUCACACAAAGUCUGUAUUUGGGGGAGGGGGCAUGGGGCAGGAAAGAUGGUGGAAUGAGAUGGACAUCAUUACUCUAGGUACAUAUAUGAUUUCACAAAUGGUGUGACUGUAUAUCAUGUACAACCCAAGAAUUGAAAUGUUUUGCUCUAUUUGUGUACAAUGAAUUACAAUGCAUUCUGCUGUCAUGUAUAACUAAGUAGAAAAACAACAACAAAAGUCUAUAUUUGCCACCAAUGAACCCUCACUAAUAGAAAUUCUAGUGGAUGUACUUCAGACAGAAGAGAAAACAUUACAGAUGAAAAAAGAAAGUUUGUGAACAAUAGUAAAAAUUUGGAAAAAU